UCGGGGCGGAUUUGAUGUUCCAGAUGGAGGUAAUAACUUUUUCUUUUCCGAUCAUGUGCCAUGUGUCUGUUUCCUUUAUGUGUGCUUCACGUCUUUGGUAUCCUAUCCUUUAUUGCAUCAUAAGGACUUAGCAGAGCUAUCAUGAGUAGCUAUAGUCUGUUUAAUAUUUUCAGUAUUUGCAUUUUGCUUCUUUGUUGAUAUUAUACAAGUAAUAUGUCUGAAUUGGAUCCCAGUGAGGGAUUUGAUGGUGUAGAUUUUUGUUCCAUAUUUCAAUUAGAAUGUUUUUGAAGGUAUAAAACGAAAUCUGAAUGCAUAUCUUUUUAAGUGUAUAUUUUUAUUAAUCUGUUCUGAUGCCAAUGGCUCAAAAUGCAUUGUUCCUAUCCAACACAGACUCAAGCCUAUAUAUUUGAUUUUCCAGAUUGGUUUCAUCAAACUGAUGAGCCAUGAGUUGAUCUUUUCAUCUUUUUUUUCCUCUUCUGCAAGCUUGUAUUUGAUUCUUGUACAUGUAUGUUCACAUCAGACAAGAGGGUCUCAUCUUAUCCAUAGGAUGCUUUCCAUGCAUGUGGGAUGCUAGGAGUUGCUUAGUAGAGAGAGAAAAGUUGGAGGGGUUCAAGAAGGUUGUUACUUCCCAACUCUUUUGGAAGUCAGGAUUCCAUUUAUAAAGGCUUUAGUGAUACCAUGAAAACUGGGAUGCCGAAUCCCUACACCCGCUGAGCCUUCCAGCUUCAUCUUUCCAAACAUUCUCACUUGGUUGAUAUAACCUGGUGGGUUGGUUGGUCGUUUAAACAUGCCAUUAGUAUUGGUAAAGUAAACUUAAAAUUCAUAUCUGUUCAUACCAGAAAUGGAUAUCAAUUUCAAUGAUUAGUUGUGUCAGACUUUGCUUCAAUGUAGGCAAUGACUUUAGGACUAUUAUAUUUAUCCUUUCUAAGGGUUUAUAUUUGGACAUGAGAUAGUUUUGAGUAAUUUGACAGGGUGAUAGUAAGGUAUCCGCAAAAGGUGGAGACAACUCUGCUAGGAAAGAUGCAGCAAGUCCUCAACCUGGUCCAAGUACCUAGGGGCAGAUGGGUCAACCAGGAUCUUUUACUCAAGGAAUGAACUAUAUGCAACCUCAGUUCCAUAAUGGGGAUAUUUCAAGCUGAAUGGUUAUUGGCCUAUUUCUGCUAGCUGUUCUCUAUUUUAGGUAAUAGCUCUUCCUGAUUGGUCCUCUGCAUUAUGUAGAGGUUCUUUGGAUAUCUUUUCUCAUUCAAGUAUCAGUUCUUGCUGAUCAACAUUUGUAUUGUGUCACCAUACUUGAGCACUUCUCAUCCAGUGCUCAGAAUGGUGCUGCAAUGAUUAUAGAUCAUUAAAGAAAGUGAUCCAUAGGAGGAGAAGAAAUAUAUCAUGGAGUCAACAGCUUGUUCUAUGACAUACGCAAACCAAUCUAAAGAAUUGUUUUGCUUACUUUGGGUUCGGAUAGCUCAAAGAAAUCAAAUAAUGAUGGUUGUUGACCAAAGUAGUUUCCUUUUAUUCUGUUUAUAAUCUUCUGUAGCUUUAAUGUCUCAUUUAUUUGUGAAAUAAUGGCUGAAUGGGUUAUUUGCACUAUAUCUGAACGGUUAGAAUCAAAAAAUAUUAUUUUUUUUUUCACAAUAUUCCUAAAGCUGAUCUCAGACAGGGAUGAAGGCAAUGGUUCGGUGUUGGUUUGUUAAAGACUAAAGAAGCAGAAGUGCGACCUUUGAUAUGCACUUUUCAAUAUAUUUUGGGGAAUCAUGUGAACAUUUAAAUAAAGAAAGAGAUGAGCAAGAGUGUCCUCUGAAAACAAGACCUUUUGGUUGUGUUGACCCCAUGAUAAAUGAUCCUUGUCUUGCAUUAAAAUUCAAGAUUAGAUUGUUCUCAUGCUGAUGAUGAGGAAAGAAUCACGUAAUUUCACUUGUGUGUGUGAAGCGGAUGUGAAAGCCGACCGAUGCAGCGGACUAGAAUCGCACAUGUUUGCAGAGUUCAUCACAUUCGGGGAAAAUGCCAAAAACAACCAUAGAUCCUUGCAUCCUCAUCUAUUCAUACACCUAGCCGUGCGUUGCCCUAAACUUGUAUCCCCAUCAAGCUGCCGUCCUCCUCUAGCGCCUUGAAUCCCCAUUUAUCCUCUUCUCCACUUCUCGCUUGGCGAUCGAUUGAAUCUAUUCCUGGGAUAACCACAGAGGUCGCCCUCUCUACUCAAAAUGGGGUAAGCGUUCUUUAUUCUUUUUCACCCAUUCCAUCACCUUUUUCUAUUCCUAUGUUU